rnacentral:rRNA from 1 species
AGUGAACGCUGGCGGUAGGCCUAACACAUGCAAGUCGAACGGCAGCACAGUAAGAGCUUGCUCUUACGGGUGGCGAGUGGCGGACGGGUGAGGAAUACAUCGGAAUCUACUUUUUCGUGGGGGAUAACGUAGGGAAACUUACGCUAAUACCGCAUACGACCUACGGGUGAAAGCAGGGGAUCUUCGGACCUUGCGCGAUUGAAUGAGCCGAUGUCGGAUUAGCUAGUUGGCGGGGUAAAGGCCCACCAAGGCGACGAUCCGUAGCUGGUCUGAGAGGAUGAUCAGCCACACUGGAACUGAGCCACGGUCCAGACUCCUACGGGAGGCACCAGUGGGGAAUAUGGGACAAUGGGCGCAAGCCUGAUCCAGCCAUACCGCGUGGGUGAAGAAGGCCUUCGGGUUGUAAAGCCCUUUUGUUGGGAAAGAAAAGCAGCAGGUUAAUACCCCGCUGUUCUGACGGUACCCAAAGAAUAAGCACCGGCUAACUUCGUG